rnacentral:rRNA from 1 species
GGGGAAUUUUCCGCAAUGGGCGAAAGCCUGACGGAGCAAUACCGCGUGAGGGAGGAAGGCUCUUGGGUCGUAAACCUCUUUUAUUAGGGAAGAAGAUCUGACGGUACCUAAUGAAUCAGCAUCGGCUAACUCCGUGCCAGCAGCCGCGGUAAUACGGAGGAUGCAAGCGUUAUCCGGAAUCAUUGGGCGUAAAGCGUCCGCAGGUGGCCAGAUAAGUCUGUUGUUAAAGCAUGGGGCUUAACCCCAUAUCGGCAAUGGAAACUGUUCGGCUAGAGUAUGGUAGGGGUCAGGGGAAUUCCCAGUGUAGCGGUGAAAUGCGUAGAUAUUGGGAAGAACACCGGUGGCGAAAGCGCCUGACUGGGCCAUAACUGACACUCAUGGACGAAAGCUAGGGGAGCGAAAGGGAUUAGAUACCCC